GGCGGACGGGUGAGUAAUGCUUAGGAAUCUGCCUAUUAGUGGGGGACAACAUUCCGAAAGGGAUGCUAAUACCGCAUACGCCCUACGGGGGAAAGCAGGGGAUCUUCGGACCUUGCGCUAAUAGAUGAGCCUAAGUCGGAUUAGCUAGUUGGUGGGGUAAAGGCCUACCAAGGCGACGAUCUGUAGCGGGUCUGAGAGGAUGAUCCGCCACACUGGGACUGAGACACGGCCCAGACUCCUACGGGAGGCAGCAGUGGGGAAUAUUGGACAAUGGGCGGAAGCCUGAUCCAGCCAUGCCGCGUGUGUGAAGAAGGCCUUUUGGUUGUAAAGCACUUUAAGCGAGGAGGAGGCUCUUAAGGUUAAUACCCUUGAUGAGUGGACGUUACUCGCAGAAUAAGCACCGGCUAACUCUGUGCCAGCAGCCGCGGUAAUACAGAGGGUGCGAGCGUUAAUCGGAUUUACUGGGCGUAAAGCGUGCGUAGGCGGCUGAUUAAGUCGGAUGUGAAAUCCCUGAGCUUAACUUAGGAAUUGCAUUCGAUACUGGUCAGCUAGAGUAUGGGAGAGGAUGGUAGAAUUCCAGGUGUAGCGGUGAAAUGCGUAGAGAUCUGGAGGAAUACCGAUGGCGAAGGCAGCCAUCUGGCCUAAUACUGACGCUGAGGUACGAAAGCAUGGGGAGCAAACAGGAUUAGAUACCCUGGUAGUCCAUGCCGUAAACGAUGUCUACUAGCCGUUGGGGCCUUUGAGGCUUUAGUGGCGCAGCUAACGCGAUAAGUAGACCGCCUGGGGAGUACGGUCGCAAGACUAAAACUCAAAUGAAUUGA
rnacentral:rRNA from 1 species